GAUGAACGCUGGCGGCGUGCCUAAUACAUGCAAGUCGAGCGAACAGACGAGGAGCUUGCUCCUCUGACGUUAGCGGCGGACGGGUGAGUAACACGUGGAUAACCUACCUAUAAGACUGGGAUAACUUCGGGAAACCGGAGCUAAUACCGGAUAAUAUAUUGAACCGCAUGGUUCAAUAGUGAAAGACGGUUUUGCUGUCACUUAUAGAUGGAUCCGCGCCGCAUUAGCUAGUUGGUAAGGUAACGGCUUACCAAGGCGACGAUGCGUAGCCGACCUGAGAGGGGGAACGCCCACUCAGGAGGGGACACACGGCCCAGACCCCUACGGGAGGCAGGAAGAGGGAAUUUACCGCAGUGGGCGAAAGCUUGACGGAACAACCCCGGGGGGGUGAAGAAGGUAUGUGGUCUGGAAAGCCUUUUUAUUAGGGAAGAAAAAAAGUGUAGAUAACUUUGCCCGUUUGACGGUACCCAAAGAAGAAGCCCCGGCUAACUUAGUG
rnacentral:rRNA from 1 species